UACGGGGGGGGCAAGCGUUGUUCGGAAUUACUGGGCGUAAAGGGCUCGUAGGCGGCCAACUAAGUCACACGUGAAAUCCCCAGGCUUAACCUGGGAACUGCGUGUGAUACUGGAUGGCUUGAAUUCGGGAGAGGGAUGCAGAAUUCCAGGUGUAGCGGUGAAAUGCGUAGAUAUCUGGAGGAACACCGGUGGCGAAGGCGGCAUCCUGGACCAUUACUGACACUGAAAAGCGAAAGCCAGGGGAGCAAACGGG
rnacentral:rRNA from 1 species